rnacentral:rRNA from 1 species
CCUACGAGAGGCUGCAGUGAGGAAUAUUGGUCAAUGGCCGGAAGGCUGAACCAGCCAUGCCGCGUGAAGGUCAGUGCCCUAUGGGCGUUAAACUUCUUUUGUGCGGGAGCAAUAAUGGUCACGUGUGGCCAGACGAGAGUACCGUACGAAUAAGCAUCGGCUAACUCCGUGCAAGCAGCGGCGGUAAUACGGGGGAUGCAAGCGUUAUCCGGAGUUAUUGGGUUUAAAGGGUGCGUAGGCUGUGAGGUAAGUCAGCGGUGAAAUGCCCCCGCUCAACGGGGUGAAGUGCCAUUGAUACUGCCUUGCUGGAAUGCGGAUGCCGUGGGAGGAAUGUGUGGUGUCGCGGUGAAAUGCAUAGAUAUCACACAGAACACCGAUUGCGAAGGCAUCUCACGAAUCCGCGAUUGACGCUGAUGCACGAAAGCGUGGGUAUCAAACAGGAUUAGAUACCCCAGUAGUC